UACGGGGGGGGGCAAGCGUUGUUCGGAAUUACUGGGCGUAAAGAGCUCGUAGGCGGUUUGUCGCGUCUGCCGUGAAAGUCCGGGGCUCAACUCCGGAUCUGCGGUGGGUACGGGCAGACUAGAGUGAUGUAGGGGAGACUGGAAUUCCUGGUGUAGCGGUGAAAUGCGCAGAUAUCAGGAGGAACACCGAUGGCGAAGGCAGGUCUCUGGGCAUUAACUGACGCUGAGGAGCGAAAGCAUGGGGAGCGAACAGG
rnacentral:rRNA from 1 species